rnacentral:rRNA from 1 species
UACGUAGGGUGCAAGCGUUGUCCGGAAUUAUUGGGCGUAAAGAGCUCGUAGGCGGUUUGUCGCGUCUGCUGUGAAAACGCGAGGCUCAACCUCGCGCCUGCAGUGGGUACGGGCAGACUAGAGUGCGGUAGGGGAGAUUGGAAUUCCUGGUGUAGCGGUGGAAUGCGCAGAUAUCAGGAGGAACACCGAUGGCGAAGGCAGAUCUCUGGGCCGUAACUGACGCUGAGGGGCGAAAGCGUGGGGAGCGAACAGG